UCCCACAGCUCGAACUCGAGACCUGUGGUUAAACUAGGACAGUCCCAACCAGCUGACCUAACCCCUCGGGGUUAAAGUGUAGUAAAUUUUUAGAU